CACGUAGGGACCAAGCGUUGUCCGGAUUUAUUGGGCGUAAAGCGCUCGUAGGCGGUCUGUUGCGUCGGCUGUGAAAACCCGGGGCUCAACCCCGGGCCUGCAGCCGAUACGGGCAGACUAGAGUUCGGCAGGGGAGACUGGAAUUCCUGGUGUAGCGGUGAAAUGCGCAGAUAUCAGGAGGAACACCGGUGGCGAAGGCGGGUCUCUGGGCCGAUACUGACGCUGAGGAGCGAAAGCAUGGGGAGCGAACAGG
rnacentral:rRNA from 1 species